UGUGUGCGCUCCCUCUCCUCUGAGCGCUCCUCUCAGAGCAGGCAGCACUGAAGACCUGACACCGGCGGAACAGGACCUCCUCCUCCUCCUCCUCCUGCAGGUUUCACAGAGUCUGAGCGUUCAGACAAACUCUGAUCCGGGUCGAGAUGAAGCCGGAGAGCCUGUCUCUGCUGCUGAGACUGAGGAACACACUUUUCCCCCAGACUGCACCCGAGCAGAGAGCCGCAGGGGAGAGACCAUAACCCCAGAAGUUCUUAAAAUGAAUGUCAUGAAAGGAGCUGGCAGGAGAAGAAGAGGAAGAAGCAGAACGAGCAUCAGCGGCGUUAGCCUUCGGUGCAGAGGGGAAGGAGAGGAAGCGGAGAGGAGAAGAUGAGAGUGAUGAAAGAGAGGUCCAGACAUGAAGGAGGCACGCACACACACCGGAGCACACACACACCGGCACCUCCAGUCUGUCUGCGGUCGACCUCCAGCCUGACUAACACACACUCACACACACCGUGGCCUGUUACGGCCAACAGAUGAAGAGAGGAGACGCCACUCCAGCUGUGAGGAGACUGAGGAGUCAACACACACUCACAUAAACACACACACUCACACACACACACACACAGAGCCGGAGGCGCGUGAGCAGGUGAGCAUUAAGUCAGGCAGCUAAACAGAUCACGUCGCGGUGUGAUAUCUGCAGACAGGCAGACAGAGGAGGCCGGUCUGUACCUGCAGGCAGAGAGCAACAACUCCAGGCACCCGAGCCAGGAAUUUACUCCCCCUCCUGAGAGAGGGAGGGAGGGAGAGAGAGAGAGGGAGGGAGGGAGAGAGAGAGAGAGAGAGAGAGAGAGAGAGAGAGACGUGUGUGAACCAAACCCAGCAGUGUUCAGACGCUCAUGGACAAAUUUUGUUUUUUAACUUCUGCGUCAUAAAAAUUGAUAACUUCAAUGUUGUGCAGACUUUUUUAUCUGUAACAACCAAGAGAGACACAUUUAAAACUGAAUAAUAAAAGACCUUCAACACAGAA